rnacentral:rRNA from 1 species
GACGAACGCUGGCGGCGUGCUUAACACAUGCAAGUCGAGCGGUAAGGCCCUUUCGGGGGUACACGAGCGGCGAACGGGUGAGUAACACGUGGGUGACCUGCCCUUAGCUCUGGGAUAAGCCUGGGAAACUGGGUCUAAUACCGGAUAUGACUCCAUGACGCAUGUUGUGGGGUGGAAAGCCUUGUGCGGCUAGGGAUGGGCCCGCGGCCUAUCAGCUUGUUGGUGGGGUGAUGGCCUACCAAGGCGACGACGGGUAGCCGGCCUGAGAGGGCGACCGGCCACACUGGGACUGAGACACGGCCCAGACUCCUACGGGAGGCAGCAGUGGGGAAUCUUGCGCAAUGGGCGAAAGCCUGACGCAGCGACGCCGCGUGGGGAUGACGGCCUCGG